GACGAACGCUGGCGGCGUGCCUAAUACAUGCAAGUCGAACGAGUGGCGGACGGGUGAGUAACACGUGGGAAUCUACCCGUCAGAGGGGGAUAACACUUGGAAACAGGUGCUAAUACCGCCAACUGAUGGAUGGACCCGCGGUGCAUUAGCUAGUUGGUGGGGUAACGGCUCACCAAGGCCACGAUCCCUAGCUGGUCUGAGAGGAUGACCAGCCAAACUGGAACUGAGACACGGUCCAGACUCCUACGGGAGGCAGCAGUGGGGAAUAUUGCACAAUGGGCGCAAGCCUGAUGCAGCCAUGCCGCGUGUGUGAAGAAGGCCUUCGGGUUGUAAAGCACUUUCAGCGGGGAGGCGUUACCCGCAGAAGAAGCACCGGCUAACUCCGUGCCAGCAGCCGCGGUAAUAC
rnacentral:rRNA from 1 species